CUACGGAGGGUCCAAGCGUUAUCCGGAUUCAUUGGGGUUAAAGGGUCCGCAGGCGGGAAAAUAAGUCAGUGGUGAAAGCCUACAGCUCAACUGUAGAACUGCCAUUGAUACUGUUUUUCUUGAGUAUAGAUGAAGUGGGCGGAAUAUAUCAUGUAGCGGUGAAAUGCAUAGAUAUGAUAUAGAACACCGAUUGCGAAGGCAGCUCACUAAACUAUUACUGACGCUCAGGGACGAAAGCGUGGGGAGCGAACAGGAUUAGAAACCCUAGUAGUCC
rnacentral:rRNA from 1 species